rnacentral:rRNA from 1 species
UACAGAGGUGGCAAGCGUUGUUCGGAAUUACUGGGCGUAAAGGGCUCGUAGGCGGCCAACUAAGUCAGACGUGAAAUCCCUCGGCUUAACCGGGGAACUGCGUCUGAUACUGGAUGGCUUGAGUUCGGGAGAGGGAUGCGGAAUUCCAGGUGUAGCGGUGAAAUGCGUAGAUAUCUGGAGGAACACCGGUGGCGAAGGCGGCAUCCUGGACCGACACUGACGCUGAGGAGCGAAAGCCAGGGGAGCAAACGGG